AUCGCUUCUCGGCCUUUUGGCUAAGAUCAAGUGUAGUAUCUGUUCUUAUCAGUUUAAUAUCUGAUAUGCUCUCUAUUUGAGAGCUACGUAUUAAACGGAUUUUUGGGAAUGGGAGGUGCUCUAGGGGCUUGCUCCUUGCCCUCCAUGCAUCGGUCCGGUAUUGCAGUGCCUCCGGAAGCGGUGCCCUGCCC